AACGAUGAACCACUUCGGUGGGGAUUAGUGGCGAACGGGUGAGUAACACGUGGGCAAUCUGCCCUGCACUCUGGGACAAGCCCUGGAAACGGGGUCUAAUACCGGAUACUGACCUUCACGGGCAUCUGUGAGGGUCGAAAGCUCCGGCGGUGCAGGAUGAGCCCGCGGCCUAUCAGCUUGUUGGUGAGGUAACGGCUCACCAAGGCGACGACGGGUAGCCGGCCUGAGAGGGCGACCGGCCACACUGGGACUGAGACACGGCCCAGACUCCUACGGGAGGCAGCAGUGGGGAAUAUUGCACAAUGGGCGAAAGCCUGAUGCAGCGACGCCGCGUGAGGGAUGACGGCCUUCGGGUUGUAAACCUCUUUCAGCAGGGAAGAAGCGAAAGUGACGGUACCUGCAGAAGAAGCGCCGGCUAACUACGUGCCAGCAGCCGCGGUAAUACGUAGGGCGCAAGCGUUGUCCGGAAUUAUUGGGCGUAAAGAGCUCGUAGGCGGCUUGUCACGUCGGUUGUGAAAGCCCGGGGCUUAACCCCGGGUCUGCAGUCGAUACGGGCAGGCUAGAGUUCGGUAGGGGAGAUCGGAAUUCCUGGUGUAGCGGUGAAAUGCGCAGAUAUCAGGAGGAACACCGGUGGCGAAGGCGGAUCUCUGGGCCGAUACUGACGCUGAGGAGCGAAAGCGUGGGGAGCGAACAGGAUUAGAUACCCUGGUAGUCCACGCCGUAAACGGUGGGCACUAGGUGUGGGCAACAUUCCACGUUGUCCGUGCCGCAGCUAACGCAUUAAGUGCCCCGCCUGGGGAGUACGGCCGCAAGGCU
rnacentral:rRNA from 1 species